rnacentral:rRNA from 1 species
GACAGAGGAGGCGAGCGUUAUCCGGAGUUAUUGGGCGUAAAGGGUACGUAGGCGGCUGGUCAAGUCUGGGGUUAAAGACCACAGCUUAACUGUGGGGGGGCCUUGGAAACUGACCGGCUGGAGUGGGGCAGGGGUUGCGGGAAUUCCCGGUGUAGCGGUGAAAUGCGUAGAUAUCGGGAAGAACACCUGAGGCGAAAGCGCGCAACGGGGCCCUAAUUGACGAUGAGGUACGAAAGCUAGGGGAGCGAAUGGG